CUGUCGNCUAUGGGAUGGCCCCGCGGUGCAUUAGCUAGUUGGUAAGGUAACGGCUUACCAAGGCGAUGAUGCAUAGCCGAGUUGAGAGACUGAUCGGCCACAUUGGGACUGAGACACGGCCCAAACUCCUACGGGAGGCAGCAGUAGGGAAUCUUCCACAAUGGACGCAAGUCUGAUGGAGCAACGCCGCGUGAGUGAAGAAGGUUUUCGGAUCGUAAAGCUCUGUUGUUGGUGAAGAAGGAUAGAGGUAGUNACUGNCCUUUAUUUGACG
rnacentral:rRNA from 1 species